GGAGGGGUCGCAUAGUGGUCGAGUGCACCACCUUGGAAAGGUGGCAUACUUUAAACGGUAUCGGAGGUUCGAAUCCUCUCCCCUCCG
rnacentral:tRNA from 1 species